rnacentral:rRNA from 1 species
CAAGUUCGAACGAACCCUUUCGGGGUUUAGUGGGCGCACGGGUGCGUAACGCGUGGGAACCUGCCUUUAGGUUCGGAAUAACUCAGAGAAAUCUGAGCUAAUACCGGAUAAUGUCUUCGGACCAAAGAUUUAUCGCCUUUAGAUGGGCCCGCGUUAGAUUAGAUAGUUGGUGGGGUAACGGGCCUACCAAGUCGACGAUCUAUAGCUGGUCUGAGAGGAUGAUCAGCCACACUGGGACUGAGACACGGCCCAGACUCCUACGGGAGGCAGCAGUGGGGAAUAUUGGACAAUGGGCGAAAGCCUGAUCCAGCAAUGCCGCGUGAGUGAUGAAGGCCUUAGGGUUGUAAAGCUCUUUUUACCAGGGAUGAUAAUGACAGUACCUGGAAAAAUAAGCUCCCGGCUAAUUCCCUGCCCCCAACCCCCGGGUAAAACCAAAGGGAACUUAGUUUUUUUCAAAAUUUAGGGGGAAAAAAGCCCGCCGAAGGCGGUUUUUUUUAAGUCGGGGGGGAAAAUCCCCGGGAACCUCCACCCCCGGAACCGCCCUU